UAAUCUCACCCCGAGGGGACUCGUCUUCUCGGCGUGGACUUGGACGUUGCCGCGCUCUCGGCUCGUCUGGAAUGCCUCAGUGUUACCCGCUCGUCGGCGUCGACAGUGUGAUAAGUAUCUUCACUGUGUAAGCCUCCUCGGAGGCGCGCCCUCGGAUGGAACGUGGUGCUGCCAACCGUCUUCGGACGACUCUUGACG
rnacentral:misc_RNA from 1 species